rnacentral:lncRNA from 1 species
GGGGGGGCGGAGGGGGCAGAGGCCGGAAGCUCGGCUCCUGGCCGGUGAGUCCUCCGAGACGGAGGGCAGAGGUGGUCCUGGAGGCCACUGAGCAGGGGGCAAGCUCCCAGGCACAGGGCGGCCAGCGGAGAGAGACACCAGCAAGUGGCCAGAGGGCCAGUGCUAAGGGCCAGGGAAAUGGGAAACCGAAGGAGUCCGAGGGGCCUGAGCGGAGGCUGGAUCGGGAGGGGCCGGUACUCGGGAGCGGGGAGUGUGUGUCCCGGGGUCCCAGGGCUGGAGGGCAGCGGUGCUUCUGAAGCUGACAGCGCAGGGGGCCGAGAGGCGAGGCCGUGGCCUCAGCAGAGACUGCCGGACACCAGAGGCGGAGGACGGAGUCACAGGAGGAGAAGGCAGCGCGGGAACAGGGAGGAGGGGAACCUGAGACAAGAAGAAGCAGGUUCCAGGCCAGCCUGCUUGACAACAAACCAAAAGAAUCAUCGGACAGAAGCAGCUGCAGUGUGCUCACGGCUGCCCACGGCCCUCGUCUGCAUGGGAAGGGCCUCAGCUCCCUUCGCAGGCGAAGUGGGAGCGCGUGCUGAGGGACGCACACGCAGGCAGGGCCGCGCAGCCGUGGACAGCGGGAGGAGGCUCCCCCGCACUGAUGAGCUCUCUGCGUUUAGAGCACAGCGUCAUGCACUUCCACGCGGGACUGCCGGGACGCUGCCCGUGUCUGGUGUGCGCACACUGACGCGAGAGAGGCGGCUUUCUGCACAUCUCCUGUCCUUCACUUCGCAGGCGGAUGCUGUCACGCGGUCAUUGUGAUGGAAAACUUGUAGGACUACAGGGAGGGGACAGGCGUGGGUAUUCUCAAAAGUCUUAUCGAGUGAUGGUGCUCUGGCUGAAACACUGAUUUUAUUUGGUUUUGGGGACUAUUAAAAGCUUAAAACUAAAAAAGUUUUAAAAAACCCAAAGCAAACUGCAAAACAUAUAAAACUAUGAAGCAGGGUGCACAGCCUGAUGUCUUUUGCUCAUGGAAGAAGGG